AUAGACGCUUAGCCGGCAGGCCUAACACAUGCAAGUUCGAGGGGCAGCAUAGUAAGUAGCAAUACUUGCGGAUUGGCGACCGGCGCACGGGUGCGUAACGCGUAUGCAACCUACCCGUAACAGGGGGAUAAUCCGAAGAAAUUUGGUCUAAUAUCCCAUAAUAUGACUGAGGGCAUCCUUGGUGAUUGAAAGAUUCGUUGGUUACGGAUGGGCAUGCGUUGUAUUAGCUAGUUGGUAAGGUAACGGCUUACCAAGGCUACGAUACAUAGGGGAACUGAGAGGUUAACCCCCCACACUGGUACUGAGACACGGACCAGACUCCUACGGGAGGCAGCAGUGAGGAAUAUUGGUCAAUGGACGGAAGUCUGAACCAGCCAUGCCGCGUGCAGGAUGACGGCUCUAUGAGUUGUAAACUGCUUUUAUGCUAGGGUAAACUCGGGUACGUGUACCCGACUGAAAGUAUAGCAAGAAUAAGGAUCGGCUAACUCCGUG
rnacentral:rRNA from 1 species